rnacentral:rRNA from 1 species
ACGAACGCUGGCGGCGUGCCUAAUACAUGCAAGUAGAACGCUGAAGGCGGAGCUUGCUUCUCUGGAUGAGUUGCGAACGGGGGAGUAACGCGUAGGUAACCUGCCUGGUAGCGGGGGAUAACUAUUUGAAACGAUAGCUAAUACCGCAUAAGAGUAGAUGUUGCAUGACAUUUGCUUAAAAGGUGCAAUUGCAUCACUACCAGAUGGACCUGCGUUGUAUUAGCUAGUUGGUGGGGUAACGGCCCACCAAGGCGACGAUACAUAGCCGACCGGCGAGGGUGAUCGGCCCCCCUGGGACUGGGACACGGCCCAGACUCCUUCGGGGGGCAGCAGUAGGGAAUCUUCGGCAAUGGACGGAAGUCUGACCGAGCAACGCCGCGGGAGUGAAGAAGGUUUUCGGAUCGUAAAGCUCUGUUGUAAGAGAAGAACGAGUGUGAGAGUGGAAAGUUCACACUGUGACGGUAUCUUACCAGAAAGGGACGGCUAACUACGUG